rnacentral:tRNA from 1 species
UAAAAAUUAGUUUAGUAUAAAACACUAAUUUGUCAAAUUAGAAAAUUUAAUAAUUUAAAAUUUUUUU